rnacentral:rRNA from 1 species
GGAGGGUGCAAGCGUUGUUCGGAAUUACUGGGCGUAAAGCGCGUGUAGGCGGCUUUUUAUGUCGGGUGUGAAAGCCCUGGGCCCAACCCAGGAAGUGCGCCCGAAACUGAAAAGCUUGAGUACGAGAGAGGAGGACGGAAUUCCUAGUGUAGAGGUGAAAUUCGUAGAUAUUAGGAAGAACACCGGUGGCGAAAGCGGUUCUCUGGAUCGAUACUGACGCUAAGACGCGAAAGCGUGGGGAGCAAACAGGAUUAGAUACCCUGGUAGUCCACGCCGUAAACGAUGGAUACUAGUUGUUGCGGGUCUUUUAAACUCGCAGUGACGACGCUAACGCAUUAAGUAUCCCGCCUGGGGAGUACGGCCGCAAGGUUAA